UUUAGCUAAACACUCCUUCAGGGCAAGGCUUUUCCUGGCAGGUAAUGUCCAACUGGAGGAGCCCAAGGCCUGAGACAAAACCGCAUUUUGCUAUUAUGAAAUUUUACAAUAUCUAAAAUUGUAAAGAAAUGCUCAAGUAAUUACCCUUUUAUGUGUUGGAAAAAUGAGUUGUUGAGCUAUUCUUUGCCUCUAGAGGUCCCUUCCAGGCUGGGUUUUUAUAGCACUCCAGAAAGUGGAAUCCCUUUUACAACUGACUUCUAGGAAGCUGGAAGACAGGUAUGGUGGCCAACUGGAAAUUUCUCCAGUUCCCCUAUUCUACUGGGUCAAGUGAGAAAACAAUAGUACCCAGUGAUCUGAAACAUUCAUGGACCUUUCUGAAAAGUUGGAGAGAGGGAGAUGGUGGUACAAAUUUCACUUGAAAAGAGUCAUGAAGCUGAAAAGGGUUUCACUUCAUAUUCAAGACUUCAUGUUUCAGUGGAAAUAAUGGUGUAUUUUUAUCUGUUGGCAGAAAACG